rfam:Clostridium sp. CAG:169 genomic scaffold, scf113
GGGAGUGGAUGGGUGCUGGUGUGCCCUCUGGUCUUCAAAACCAGUAAUUGCAGUUAGUAGCUGCAUAGGUGGGUUCAAUUCCCACACAUUCCC